rnacentral:rRNA from 1 species
AUUGAACGCUUUCUUCCUUCCUAACACAUGCAAGUCGAGCGGAUGAAGGGAGCUUGCUCCUGGAUUCAGCGGCGGACGGGUGAGUAAUGCCUAGGAAUCUGCCUGGUAGUGGGGGAUAACGUCCGGAAACGGGCGCUAAUACCGCAUACGUCCUGAGGGAGAAAGUGGGGGAUCUUCGGACCUCACGCUAUCAGAUGAGCCUAGGGCGGAUUAGCUAGUUGGUGGGGUAAAGGCCUACCAAGGCGACGAUCCGUAACUGGUCUGAGAGGAUGAUCAGUCACACUGGAACUGAGACACGGUCCAGACUCCUACGGGAGGCAGCAGUGGGGAAUAUUGGACAAUGGGCGAAAGCCUGAUCCAGCCAUGCCGCGUGUGUGAAGAAGGUCUUCGGAUUGUAAAGCACUUUAAGUUGGGAGGAAGGGCAGUAAGUUAAUACCUUGCUGUUUUGACGUUACCAACAGAAUAAGCACCGGCUAACUUCGUG